GAAUGGGAGGGCAAUCUGGCUCUGGCAUCUGUCACUCCCUUGAUUGCCAGAUUGAUUUGGCUGUUUUGGGUGGCUAGACAAGUGUUCACUUUCGUCUCUCAUCACUUCAUAUGCAUCCUUCUUGAAGCUAUGUCCUCAGGGGAAGAGGAUGUCUAUCACAGAUAGAAGGAGUUAUCUGAUCUUUGGUCAGUCAAGGGCAUACAAUACUGUGGAAAUUGUAAAGAGAACAUACCAUUUAGUCAUAUGAGAAAAAUUAAACUCAUUUUGAUCAGACAAAUGAGACAUACUCUUGAUGAGUCCAGUC
rnacentral:snRNA from 1 species